rnacentral:rRNA from 1 species
AGAGUUUGAUCAUGGCUCAGAACGUACGCUGGCGGCACGCCUAACACAUGCAAGUCGAACGAAGUAGCAAUACUUAGUGGCAGACGGGUGAGUAACAUGUGGGUAUCUACCCUUUGGCCUGGAAUAACACGAGGAAACUUGUGCUAAUACCGGAUAAGUCUUUACAGAGAAAGCUUUAUGCACCAUUGGAUGAGCCUGCACUUGAUUAGUUAGUUGGUAGGGUAAUGGCCUACCAAGACUUUGAUCAAUAGCUGAUUUGAGAGGAUGAUCAGCCACAUUGGGACUGAGACACGGCCCAAACUCCUACGGGAGGCAGCAGUGGGGAAUCUUGCACAAUGGAGGAAACUCUGAUGCAGCGAUGCCGCGUGAGUGAAGAAGGCCCUUGGGUUGUAAAGCUCUUUCGUCGGGGAAGAAAAUGACUGUACCCGAAUAAGAAGGUCCGGCUAACUUCGUGCCAGCAGCCGCGGUAAUACGAAGGGACCUAGCGUAGUUCGGAAUUACUGGGCUUAAAGAGUUCGUAGGUGGUUGAAAAAGUUGGUGGUGAAAUCCCAGAGCUUAACUCUGGAACUGCCAUCAAAACUUUUCAGCUAGAGUAUGAUAGAGGAAAGCAGAAUUUCUAGUGUAGAGGUGAAAUUCGUAGAUAUUAGAAAGAAUACCAAUUGCGAAGGCAGCUUUCUGGA